rfam:Daphnia pulex DAPPTscaffold_32_Cont1845, whole genome shotgun sequence.
UCCAUGUGAUGAGUUGCCAUGCUAAUACAGAGGGCGCUUUAGGCGCGCUGUGAGUUGAGAAUUUCAGUUGACUGAUGGAA